UCCUGGGUUCCUGGUGAGCCGAGCUCGUCUGUGGGUGUCGGUGCUCCGCCGGACCAGGGGCCCCGUGUCUGAGGACGUGAGAAGGAGCUUCAGUGCCCUCGUCAUUGUGAACUCUGGUGCCACUGGGGCGGAAAUGACUCUGCUGGCUGCCAGCCAUCCUGGAGAUCGCUCUGCACGGCUUUUCCUCGUAUGUGUGGUUCCUGCCCACGCACACCCUUCCUGGGGCGAGGGGUGCGAGGGGCACAGGAGAGAGGCCAGGGACUUUGUCUCCCCUCUUUCCUUGCCUCUCAGAGGUGGAGUCCAACCCCCCCCCCCCCCCCCGGCGGGCACACCACCGCACACACACACACACCUGAGGCUUUCCUUAAGUCUCCCGCUACACAUCACUUCUGUUCGGUUCCCAAACAUGAGCAAUAUGUUUGCUUCCAGAUUGGUUUGUUGACUUAAAUUAAGAAAAACCCAGCUGGAGAAAAUAUCAGUGUCCAAACAUUAAGCAACAUGUGAUACUGUGCAAAAAGUCUUGCUUUUGCAUGUUUUGACGGCCAUGGCUCCGAGCAGAAGUGGAUGCCUGUGUGAGGCUCUUGGCAGGCAGUGCAGGGGCAGGUAUGCAGGGCUGGGCUGCACUCCCCAGCAGGCGGUUCGGGCCCCGGGCCCUGUGGGAAAGCCCUGGAGCCUGGGGCACCCCCAGCCCCAGGCACAUCUCCGAGGGACCUUCAGAGGAGAGUCUGAAUCUGUGCCCAGGACGGAAGGGCCAGCCCUGGCCAUCUUUGGGAUUUAAUCAGUCGAGAGCCCGAGAGAGCAGGCUAGAGAGCCCUGACCACCCGCUCACCUGGCAGCCACACGAGGGGCAUCCUGUGCCGUGUGUGGCCCACCAGGUGAGGGAGGCCCAUGGGACAGAGGAGGCUGGGGGCUGGGCUGAGCUCACAGCCCUUGUGGAUGGGUUCCUUUGGGGAGUGAGACAGGACCCCCCCCCCCCGGUAGUGUGAAACUUGUGACAGCUUGGAGAUCCUUCAGAUAUAGAUCCUUCCAGAUAAGCGUGCGGUGCUCCUGCUGAACGCAAAUCCUCAGUGCCAGAUGGUUCCAGUCCAGCCAGAGCAAGCUCGACCUGGGCCCAGCACGUUCUCCGGAUGCUUCCUUCACACACCUUGCUUUGCUCCCAGAAAGGGGAAGUACUCUGAGCAGAAACCUCUGUGUGAGAGGCCGCGUCUGGGCAGAGCCCUCACCGUCGUGGCUGCUGUGCUUAGCCCGCUGGAGCGGCCCUUCUUGGAUGUCCUGUGGGCCUCCCUGCAGCCGCCUCCCCUGGGGACCUUCCCCUGUAACGGGGAACAUCUGUGUCCUCUUGUUCACACCUGUCUGGGUGCCGACUACGGGGACCUGGCCCUUCCACCCUUCUGUGUUCUCGCUGCUCCGGGUGGGCCUUCCGGGUCCAUCUUUCCUCCUCUUGUCCUUCAGGUAUUGCUGAGUUCCUGUCGCACUUGCUGCGCUCUGCGGGGCGUCUGCAUCCGGGGAUGGGGUCACGCUGUGUAUCCCUGGACACAGCCCACAGCUCCCAGCACCCCCCAGACAGUCCCCCCGCCCCCGGAAGGAGGUGGUGGGGUGGGGCUGCUUCGGCCCCAUUGCUCUCAUCAGCAAGAGUCGAGAGCGGGGUCCUGGGCACGUUGAAAGACGAGGGCAGGAACGUGAGCCGGGGGACAGCCCGUGAGCUGGGAAGAGGGCUGUGGCUUGGCAGGCCCGUGAACCCAUACCUGCCAUCUGGAUGCACCGGCCUGGGGAGCCCACCCUUUGCUGUACUCAAAUUCAAACCUCGUAUGGGCAGGUGUUCCUAGGAGGUUCUCUUCACGGUAGUUCUGCUCUUUCUAGAAUCUCAGUAUUCUCCCUCAAGUGGUCUUCUGUACCACAAUUUAGACCAUUUUUCUUGGGAAAAGGGCUUUCGUGGCUUCACAGGCUUUGGCUGUGAUCCUCUCUUCCUAUGCAGCCUCCCCAGGUGACCCUGCCCUGAUGACCCCAUCAAAUGUGCGGGACAGCUUAAGUCUGGGCUCACAGGUUACUCGCCUCAGCUGAGACCCUUGCUGAAGAGGGCAGAGCAGUAGCCAUGACCACACCUGACCACACUGUCCACCUUACUGGCCCCGUCAGAGACUCCAGUCAGGUGAGGUGGAUGGAAGAAAAGUCCUGAGCCAGAAAUGGAACAUUCUAGAACAUUCUGGAGCUAGCUCCCACAGAGCCGGUGGAAGAGCUGUUGGCUGGAAGUCAGUCUGGUCGUGGAAUGAAGAGGCCACCCAGGCCCUGCACACAGGUGCACAGACAGCCUCCCACUUUGGGGUGGGAGGGCAGUGCCUUCCAGAGACCCUGUUCCACUGUGGGUGGUCCUCAGAGCCCCCGGGCCCCAUGCCAGUGGGUCCCCAUCCCUCUCCUGGGACACAGCAGCAGGCUGUGGUUCCUCCCUUGUCCCCAGCAGAGGCCCUCCGUCUCUGUGUUCACCCUCCUCCAGCCGUGCCUGGGAGCAUCUUAGCCUGGCCAAGGGCUACACCCAGGGCAGAGAGUGUGGGCCCAGAGUGUCCCAGCCCCUGACCCUGUGCCUUCAGAGGUCACAGAGCCCCAGUCCACUGAACACAUGACCACGCCCAGACACACAGCCUCCACCUCUGUGAGGACGGUGUCUGCAGAUGUCCGUGCCAACCUUGAACUGGGUGGAACAGGCGUCUGGAAAGGAGAGAGGAGGCCCCCGAGGAGGGCUGUGCCCAGGAACCACAGUCUGUUCCUCAGGACCCCUCCUGGCCACCAGAGGGUGUGUCUCUGUUCCAGGUGGCGUGCAGAUGGUCCAGCCUCACCGCCCGUACGUGGAAAGGCCUGGGGCGGCGUGGCCCUCGGAAACAGGUGCGUCCAGAGCAGUGGCCAAGAGCCGCCCGGGGUCCAUGUCCCCGCCCUCGCCACUGCCUCGGCCCCCCCUGCAGACCACGAAGGACCUGCCCCAUCUCUGACUCUGGGUGACAACAAGGGCUGAGACAGAGAAGGGAGGAGAGUUCCGGUUCCUCCCUACCACUCUGACUCCAGAGUGCUCACACGUUUGAUGUUCUACGUUACGCCAAGGGGUCCCCCACCCCGGGGGCUGGAAAGUCAGUUCUCUCUUACCUGUAACCCCGGAAGAGAAGCAAAGCCACCUGCUGGCCUCCAGGGUGCACGUGCAAGUGUGUGUGGUCGUUGUCUGGAGGGCCGACUGUGUCCUCCAGCCGUGGACUCAGAGUCACCCGGCUCCAGACAGACGCACAUCUGGGCCUCCACGGGACCUCCGCCAGAGGCACAUCGAGCGCCAGGGAGGGCGUUUGCUUUGAGCACGUGGCUCCGCUCCCCUGCGGCCGAGGCACCCGACUCCUCCCGCUCCGUCUCCAGACCAGGACGCUCCACGCAGGGCCGAGAACCCGCAUUUACCUAAAGCUGCCUUCUCUUCCACGUGACGCAUCUGAACAUUACAACACCAAGAGGGAUGUAGCUGUCGGUACCUCUCCACGCAAACAUCGGACUUCUGCACCAGGAGGCAGCGUGACAGGUACUCUGUAGUUUCCAGCGAAUGGGUCUCAGAUAUAGAUGAGCAGGGUUUCCCGGGAAGGGAUGGAACCCUGUGGUGGGCUCGGCCCGAACCUGCCGGGGCGUCGCAGGUGCCUUUGUGGCUGACUGUGGGUCCCACCUGCCCCUUCCCUAUCCCACCGGCACCCCAGUCCAGGAGGGUCUCUCCAAGCCUGCCCUCCCAGCAAGGGGCCUCGGGCUACACUCAGCCGACGUCCAUAACGCUGCCUCUGAACUUGAGCCGCUGUGGCAUCCUCCUUGCUGCGAGAACAGCACCACGUUUGAACUCUCUCCCAGAAGCUCCUCAAGCCAGGAAUCUCGUGCCCAUCGUGCUGGGGAAAGAUGGCGAUGAUGCGCAGACAUGACGUAUGCAUAAAUGGUAGAUCUUGUUUAAAAAAAAAAAAAACCGUCUGCGGAGCAAGGCACUACAGUGAUCACUCAGCAUGAGUAGUUGAAACUUCUUUUCUGUGUUUCUCUGUGUAUUCUAAAUUUUUGCAACGGAAAUGUGCUAAUGGCUCUGAUUAUAAGAACAGUGUAUUUACUGGGUUAAGAAGGGCCCCCCGACAGAUGUCUUAAGACCGUACUGGUUGCUGCAGUCUAAUCUCAAGACGACAUGCCUGUCACACUUCUCAGGGCCGGUAGAUGAGAAUGCCCCAGAUGAGGUCAUGGCGGGGGGGGCGGGGGCGGUGGGAGGGCAGGCAGCCUCCACAUAGAUGGGCCAUGUGACACCAAUAUGAGAAGGACCCAGCUCAGGGCAUGCUUUCUCAGAAAAUCAAAAGGGGCUUCCUGGAGGAGGCAGGGCAUGCACUGUACCUGUUAUUGCUGGACAGGACAUGGAAGGCCUUUCAAGUAGAAGGAGCUCCAAGCACCUUAGAGCAGAGGAAACCAGGGGCCCAGAGGGCAGUGGUGAUGGUCGGGCAAGGGGGAGGGCCGACACUCUUGCCACCGGGGGUGCGGUGACGUGUGGAGUCAGCUCUGGGUGAAGUUCCAGAUGGCAAUCAGGAGAGCAGUGCAUGGCAGGCCUCACAGGCAUCAGGGGACACCACGGCCCCGGCAGCCCUGACUUUGUCUGGCGGGAGCCCCCUAGGUCUGCAAAGACCUGCCUCCUCUUACAGCCUUUCCUCACUUACUGCCCUGGGAUGGUGGACUUUUCUGAAUCCCUCCUUUGUCACUGAAGUUCGCCCAGCGCCCCAUGCAGGGAACGGCCACAAGACCCGAGUUCCUGCCAGGGGAGAUAGGCUGUGAGGAGCGCAGGCCCCAAGGAGAUCACGGGGACCUCACCUAGCACCCCGCUGUCCUCGAGGCCAGGACUGCAUCACCGGCACCCUGGGGACCCAUGAGAACGGAGGCGUCUUGCCUGGCGGAGAAGCCUGCUCGUCUCUGCAUCCCGUGUUUUACAUAAUUAGGACGUAUGGAGCCGUCAGCAAACCAUUAAUCUCUCUUUGAACCACGGUGACAAUGUUUACAUUUAAGAUCAAGAUGAUGGUUAUUGGAAGAACUCCCCCAGAAGCUCUUCUCGCAGCUGGAAAAACACGGCAGCGGGUGAACAGAGAGAGCCGUUGCCGGGGCAGAAGUGACCACGAGGCGGUCCGGGAGACCCACACUUACAGAGGGCACUGCCCGGGGAAGCAGGCAUCUGACGGAAGCUUGUCCGCAGGUUGGAGCCGGCUUCGAGAACUGUGAAGCCUGAGCCACGCGGUUCGUGGCUGGGCAUUCUGGCCACGCUUGCGGGAACCUGCUUUCGACAAACCAACUACAAGGAGAAGUUUCUGAAAAGAAGUGUUUCUAGAAUUUGUGCCCGAACAACACAGAAAAGAACCAGGGACUCGCAGAGGUGAAAAGCCAGCUUCCUGAGCAUUCUGGGAACCUUCUGGCAAGUCCUUCAUUUUAAGAGAGACCUCUGGGUGCCCUCCAACACCCUGUGGGGCCUUCCCCUGGGCAUCGUCCAUCUUGGCACUUUGCACACUGAGCGCUGAGACCCAACACCUUGUAAGGUCUGGUCAAAUGGCGGUCCCUGUGUUGGCACGACGGAGCCUUCUUUGUCACAGGCCUCUUCAGAGAGCACUUUAGUAAAUACAGGACGUUACCAACAAAACGCUGACAUUUUCAUCCCUCAUCAGAACUGGGGGCUGCGAUCCUUACAACACGCCGUGAUAGGUUGCAUUUCCCCCCACAAGAAGGAUUAGUGUUUUGCUCCCAAACAAUCCAGCUAUGAAGACGUGAAGCCCAAGGCCACCACCUCAACAUCGGUCCUGAUCCCACUGGGCAGCGAAGCUCUCCUACUUCUCAUUCUAGAAUCAACUCUUGAACACCCACAAAUGUCCGUGCACGCUAAGAGCUGACUAUGGUUAACGUUCCAGGAACCUGAAGAAGAGCCCCUGUAAGACCUGGAAAAGGGCAGUUAGUCUGUGCUGUGUGUGCAGUGACUUUGCACGGUCUUGUGGGGUUACCCUCUGGUGUCCUAGCCCAGCCAUUUCUCCCCCAGGCACACUCCCCAGGGAGUCUGGUGUGUGCCCAGAAGCCAGGCCUGGGUGCAAGAGUGAAAACGGUGGUCAGUCCAGACACCCGUCCAGAGAAGGACAGUUUCCCCACAUGGAUCAGACCUUGUCAGACAGGCAGCUCGGGGCUGCCCAAUGGCCCCAGAGAGAAAGCCCAGAGCCCUCUGAUGCCUCACAUGGAGAAUAUCAUCCUAAGCAAAGAUGUGGAAGCCAUGAGGGAAAGGCUGACGCACAGAUCCCCAGGGGCACAGGCCGGCGGGUACGGGGACAGAAGCCCAAAGCAAAGCUGUCGACCUGGAGAAGAUCAUUGCAAGGUAUAGACAGAGAAAGAGGUAAGAGCCACAAAAUACAAUGAGCAGCUGCAAAUUAACAAGAAACAGACGAUGCAGUAGAAAAAUGGGGAGAUGACCACAGGUGCUUCACAGAAAACAAAUGGUCCACAAAUAUGUGAAAUGCACUAAACCUCACUGGGAGUUAA